GACGAACGCUGGCGGCGUGCCUAAUACAUGCAAGUUGAGCGCUGAAGGUUGGUACUUGUACCAACUGGAUGAGCAGCGCACGGGUGAGUAACGCGUGGGGAAUCUGCCUUUGAGCGGGGGACAACAUUUGGAAACGAAUGCUAAUACCGCAUAAAAACUUUAAACACAAGUUUUAAGUUUGAAAGAUGCAAUUGCAUCACUCAAAGAUGAUCCCGCGUUGUAUUAGCUAGUUGGUGAGGUAAAGGCUCACCAAGGCGAUGAUACAUAGCCGACCUGAGAGGGUGAUCGGCCACAUUGGGACUGAGACACGGCCCAAACUCCUACGGGAGGCAGCAGUAGGGAAUCUUCGGCAAUGGACGAAAGUCUGACCGAGCAACGCCGCGGGAGUGAAGAAGGUUUUCGGAUCGUAAAACUCUGUUGGUAGAGAAGAACGUGGGUGAGAGUGGAAAGCUCAGCAAGUGACGGUAACUACCCAGAAAGGGACGGCUAACUACGUG
rnacentral:rRNA from 1 species